rnacentral:rRNA from 1 species
UAACACAUGCAAGUCGAGCGGUAGCACAGAGAGCUUGCUCUCGGGUGACGAGCGGCGGACGGGUGAGUAAUGUCUGGGAAACUGCCUGAUGGAGGGGGAUAACUACUGGAAACGGUAGCUAAUACCGCAUAACGUCGCAAGACCAAAGUGGGGGACCUUCGGGCCUCAUGCCAUCAGAUGUGCCCAGAUGGGAUUAGCUGGUAGGUGGGGUAACGGCUCACCUAGGCGACGAUCCCUAGCUGGUCUGAGAGGAUGACCAGCCACACUGGAACUGAGACACGGUCCAGACUCCUACGGGAGGCAGCAGUGGGGAAUAUUGCACAAUGGGCGCAAGCCUGAUGCAGCCAUGCCGCGUGUGUGAAGAAGGCCUUCGGGUUGUAAAGCACUUUCAGCGGGGAGGAAGGCGGUGAGGUUAAUAACCUCAUCGAUUGACGUUACCCGCAGAAGAAGCACCGGCUAACUCCGUGCCAGCAGCCGCGGUAAUACGGAGGGUGCAAGCGUUAAUCGGAAUUACUGGGCGUAAAGCGCACGCAGGCGGUCUGUCAAGUCGGAUGUGAAAUCCCCGGGCUCAACCUGGGAACUGCAUUCGAAACUGGCAGGCUAGAGUCUUGUAGAGGGGGGUAGAAUUCCAGGUGUAGCGGUGAAAUGCGUAGAGAUCUGGAGGAAUACCGGUGGCGAAGGCGGCCCCCUGGACAAAGACUGACGCUCAGGUGCGAAAGCGUGGGGAGCAAACAGGAUUAGAUACCCUGGUAGUCCACGCUGUAAACGAUGUCGAUUUGGAGGUUGUGCCCUUGAGGCGUGGCUUCCGGAGCUAACGCGUUAAAUCGACCGCCUGGGGAGUACGGCCGCAAGGUUAAAACUCAAAUGAAUUGACGGGGGCCCGCACAAGCGGUGGAGCAUGUGGUUUAAUUCGAUGCAACGCGAAGAACCUUACCUGGUCUUGACAUCCACAGAACUUUCCAGAGAUGGAUUGGUGCCUUCGGGAACUGUGAGACAGGUGCUGCAUGGCUGUCGUCAGCUCGUGUUGUGAAAUGUUGGGUUAAGUCCCGCAACGAGCGCAACCCUUAUCCUUUGUUGCCAGCGGUCAGGCCGGGAACUCAAAGGAGACUGCCAGUGAUAAACUGGAGGAAGGUGGGGAUGACGUCAAGUCAUCAUGGCCCUUACGACCAGGGCUACACACGUGCUACAAUGGCAUAUACAAAGAGAAGCGACCUCGCGAGAGCAAGCGGACCUCAUAAAGUAUGUCGUAGUCCGGAUUGGAGUCUGCAACUCGACUCCAUGAAGUCGGAAUCGCUAGUAAUCGUAGAUCAGAAUGCUACGGUGAAUACGUUCCCGGGCCUUGUACACACCGCCCGUCACACCAUGGGAGUGGGUUGCAAAAGAAGUAGGUAGCUUAACCUUCGGGAGGGCGCUUACCACUUGGAUCUUGUGG